ACGUUUACAAGUAGGGGAGGGGGCGACCCUCCCCGAAAAACAACAAGUCUUCGAACACCUUUGUGCACUCUCGAGGGGGACCUCUCCGUUCCCCUCGCGUUGACGAAACGCCCGUUCUGUUUCACGCGUGUAAGGAUGGAUCAUAAAAGUAUGAAAUA
rnacentral:misc_RNA from 1 species